rnacentral:tRNA from 2 species
GGCCCGUUAGCUCAAUUGGUAGAGCAGCGGACUCUUAAUCCGUCGGUUGCAGGUUCGAGUCCUGCACGGGUCACCA